rnacentral:rRNA from 1 species
GACGAACGCUGGCGGCGUGCCUAAUACAUGCAAGUCGAACGGACAGGCCUGCUUUCCCUUGUGGUUUUCGGGUACUCGAGCGGCGAACGGGUGAGUAACUCGCCAGUCAAUUGCCCCCAACUUGGGUAUAAGCCCGGGAAAUUAGGUCUAAUUCCCGUUUGGACCGCAGGGUGGUGCCGGUUGUGGCAAACGUUUUUUUACUGGUUGGGGAUGCGCUCGCGGCCUAUCAGCUUGUUGGUGGGGUAAUGGCCUACCAAGGCGGCGACGGGUAGCCGGCCUGAGAGGGUGGACGGCCACAUUGGGACUGAGAUACGGCCCAGACUCCUACGGGAGGCAGCAGUGGGGAAUAUUGCACAAUGGGCGGAAGCCUGAUGCAGCGACGCCGCGUGGGGGAUGACGGCCUUCGGGUUGUAAACUCCUUUCGACCGCGAGGAAGCCACCUGGUUGGAAGGGUGGUGACGGUAGUGGUAGAAGAAGCACCGGCUAACUACGUG